GAAUUCGCCCUUAGAGUUUGAUCCUGGCUCAGGACGAACGCUGGCGGCGCGCCUAACACAUGCAAGUCGAACGAGCGAGAGAGAGCUUGCUUUCUCGAGCGAGUGGCGAACGGGUGAGUAACGCGUGAGGAACCUGCCUCAAAGAGGGGGACAACAGUUGGAAACGACUGCUAAUACCGCAUAAGCCCACGGCUCGGCAUCGAGCAGAGGGAAAAGGAGCAAUCCGCUUUGAGAUGGCCUCGCGUCCGAUUAGCUAGUUGGUGAGGUAACGGCCCACCAAGGCAACGAUCGGUAGCCGGACUGAGAGGUUGAACGGCCACAUUGGGACUGAGACACGGCCCAGACUCCUACGGGAGGCAGCAGUGGGGAAUAUUGCACAAUGGGGGAAACCCUGAUGCAGCGACGCCGCGUGGAGGAAGAAGGUCUUCGGAUUGUAAACUCCUGUUGUUGGGGAAGAUAAUGACGGUACCCAACAAGGAAGUGACGGCUAACUACGUGCCAGCAGCCGCGGUAAAACGUAGGUCACAAGCGUUGUCCGGAAUUACUGGGUGUAAAGGGAGCGCAGGCGGGAAGACAAGUUGGAAGUGAAAUCUAUGGGCUCAACCCAUAAACUGCUUUCAAAACUGUUUUUCUUGAGUAGUGCAGAGGUAGGCGGAAUUCCCGGUGUAGCGGUGGGAUGCGUAGAUAUCGGGAGGAACACCAGUGGCGAAGGCGGCCUACUGGGCACCAACUGACGCUGAGGCUCGAAAGUGUGGGUAGCAAACAGGAUUAGAUACCCUGGUAGUCCACACCGUAAACGAUGAU
rnacentral:rRNA from 1 species